UGACCUUGGAGGUGUCUACGGACAACGCCGGCUCUUUGGCUAAGAAAUGGAGAUGAGCCCCAACCCCCAGAGUCGGACAUGACUGGACUUAAUAUUAGGGGAAACCUUUACCCUUUACCUAUCAAAAAUGCAUGCAUCUCCCCCCUAACAACACCCUCCCUCCCAUACACACAAAGCUACAGGUGUUUUAACUCAGAUUAACUCCUGGGAUUCCCCGCCUGUUCUUCUUCCCGCUUCCCCCAUCCUCCAUAAAGGGAGUCAUUCCUGGAAGUGGAGUGUCUCUGGCCCUGCGCCCAGGCCGAAAGGCAAGAGGGGCCGGAUUUGUAUUGCAAGCUGAUUCAGGAAAAGAAAAUGCAGAUAAGGUGAAGCCAUGAAGUCAUGGAUUGCAACUCUGGAGACCUGGAUUUGAAUCCUUGCUUGGCCAUCGAAUCCCAUUGGUUAAACCUGGAUUCCCGUCGACGUGGCAGCAGCAUCAGGAAAACGAAGUUUAAGAAAGCAGAAUUAAAUGUAGAAACUCAGCACAAAGUUGUUUAGGACGGCAAGGGAGAAAGUUUAGCAGCGUUGGUAAGAAAAUACAACCCGAGAAAGAAAGAACAGACACAGUCUAUGAAGUUAAAAUAUUCUGACAUUCCCUUUUGGUCCAUUUCGUCACCAUCUACACUGACAGUUUAAUGCAGUUCGAAGCUAGCAAAUGACCAUGAAAGCGUG